GUGUACACAAGACAGAGCUCACAUCAAGUUUAAUUAAACUUUACUAUUAAAUCCACCUUCAAAAGUUUAUUUCAAUAACUUUAUCCGUAUUAUUCUAUUAAAUGUAACCCACCUCUAUCUUUUUCAUAAGCUGCACCUUUACUUGAAGUCAUUGAAUAUAUCAUUAAUGAGAGUUUUCUAAAGAAACUAACUGACAACAGCGGUAUACAAACUGAGUUUCAAGAAAAAGCAUAGUAAUUCGUGGUUCAUCGUUUAUAGGGCAGGUUCCUCUAAAUGGCUAUCUUGCCGCCAAAUCCGUUAAAUUUUAUUAAUAUUACUAUUCCAAGAUUUUUUAUUUGUAAGUA
rnacentral:rRNA from 1 species